AUGUCUCCACUCUCCACAGUGGAACUGCUGACGCAGCCAGAUGUGGGCCGGAGUGCCAGGGCAAUUGUACUCCCCACUCACAGAGCAGCCUUUCAUCUGAGUCCAGGAAAGGAUAAAAAAUUGUCAUGUAAGUCCUGCAACUUGGCUGCGACGAUUUCCACGCAUGCAUGGGGGCCGCAUUGGUCUGCCUCUCCCGGCGGAUCCUUGGCUCUCAGAGCCGUUUGGCGCGGGCAGCGCUGGUGGCUCCCUGUGGGCCUCCCUGCGGGUCGGCUCCGGGCCUGUGUCCCCAAGCCUGAUUAGCGCAGCCCGGCUUGGCCCAAAGACGCCUGGGGGGGGAUUUGAGUCGUUCUAACAGUCUAAUUGACUGAUCACUUUUAUUUCGCCUGUGCUGUUGACUUCCUGUUUACUGCUCCUUCCAGCUUAGACGAAGCCAUUUGCAGCCACAUGAUGUUUUAAGGUUCCCUUCAUUCAGCGAGAGCCAAGAGACAAAACUGCAGUCCCCCUGACAAAACAAAAGAGGCAAUGGCUCCAGAGAGCAGGCUCUGGGGACCGGCUGAGUCCUGCGUUGCGGGGGUGGCAGCCGACCACUUUGCCCUGCGAUGUGAUGAUUGCCAGUCAUUAUGCCUGUCUGGUAGAGGGGGAGGCCGAGUGAGAAACAACAACAGUCAAAGGGAGAUCAGUGACUCCCGGGGACUAAAGAACCGUGCAGACAAAACAACCACCACCACCACCACCCAAAUCCCCUGCGCUCGGUUUAGAGUUCAUAGCCAGGAGGAUAAACACCACUUAAUUUGCCUCUGAUUGCCAUUUGGAGAUGAUAAAAAUUUAACUGUUGCUGGAAGAAAAGUUUCCACGGAAAUCGCAAGAUCCUCCAUUGAGAACAUUUGUGAAUUCCUCCUCAGCCGUCUCCUGAACCUCAGCUCACAACUGAACUCCGGAACAUCUACUCCACAGGCAGCUUGGGUUUGGUGUUUUACAACAAGGCCGGGAUUCUCCAACCAGGGUGAUUUCACCCCUCCCUUCCCCCCAGGACAUUUGGUGAAGUCCAUAGACAUUUUGGGUUGUCACAACAGUGUGUGUGUAUGUGUGUGUGUGUGUGUCGGGGAGAGGGCUGUGAGUACUAUUGGUGACUAGUGUGCAGAGGUCCAGGAUGCAGUUAAGCAUUCUAUGAUGCCCAGGACAGGCCCUCCACAACAAAACAUUUGUGUACAUUGAGAAACACCAGCAAUAAGGUAUCUGAAAAGCAGAAAGGAACAGAGAUGUAUUUGCUCUACAUUCUAACUUUCUACCUGGACAAAGAUGGGGUACAGGCAGGGAAUCCAUCCUUUCUGGAAACACAGAGCUGACAUCUACAGAGCUGGUGUUACAGGCUUCAUGUGAUCAGAAUGUCUUGUGGGCCUUCUGGAAUCUGCGUGAAGGUGAAGAUGAAGGUGUGGGCUCUCAUCACCACCUUCUAGGGUCUGACCAAGUCGGGGAGGCAUCCACGCGUGUGCAGCCACUGCCCCCUAGGGGAAGACACGCGCCCUUGGCGUGGGUUUCUGUUUCCAAGGCAGCCACCAGCUCUCAGCCCCCUUCUUCCUUCUAGCAGUAUACAGGAAAAAACCCUCAUUUUCUGGUUAGGAGUGAUGGUUUCAAGCCCCAAUUCUUACACUGGGUUAGAGGCCAAGCCUCUAACCUCUCUUAGCCCCAUUCACCAUCUUGGGACGUCCCAGGAAGCAUUAAAGCAUUACAAAAAUAAAUGAACCCGGCUGCUGUCCCUACA
rnacentral:lncRNA from 12 species